rnacentral:rRNA from 1 species
ACUCCUACGGGAGGGCAGCAGUGGGAAUAUUGGACAAUGGGGGAAACCCUGAUCCAGCCAUGCCGCGUGUGUGAAGAAGGCCUUCGGGUUGUAAAGCACUUUCAGUGGGGAGGAAAGGUUGUUGGUUAAUACCUAACAGCUGUGACGUUACCCACAGAAGAAGCACCGGCUAACUCCGUGCCAGCAGCCGCGGUAAUACGGAGGGUGCAAGCGUUAAUCGGAAUUACUGGGCGUAAAGCGCGCGUAGGUGGCUUGAUAAGCCGGUUGUGAAAGCCCCGGCUCAACCUGGGAACGGCAUCCGGAACUGUCAAGCUAGAGUGCAGGAGAGGAAGGUAGAAUUCCCGGUGUAGCGGUGAAAUGCGUAGAGAUCGGGAGGAAUACCAGUGGCGAAGGCGGCCUUCUGGACUGACACUGACACUGAGGUGCGAAAGCGUGGUAGCAAACAGGAUUAGAUACCCUGGUAGGCUCUGC